UCCUGGGUUCCACAGACACCGACUGGCCUUUUGUGUGCGGGUGAGAUAGGAAAUCUUGACCUCAUCCCUGCCAGGCAAGGCACUCAGCUUCUGGAGAUGAGCACCCAGCAACAGCUCCUAACGCUGACCGAUCUAAACCUCUUCCCCAAGGAUCUGCCUGGCCCUGAUUCCUGGAAGACAUCACACCGUGAACGGGAACCCUCCAAACAGCGCUGGAGUCGGGAACAGGAACACUGGGUGUGCAGAGGCCUGGUGUCCCCAUGUCACGAGUCCUCACCCUCCUCGUGGCCUAGCUGCUUGUUUUUGGCUUUCUUCCGUGCCUCCAGUCGAUCUGUCUCAGCAUUGAUGGUGUCAAAAACAGUCUCUGCCACCUCCUGCUGCCACCGCUCCGAGAUGAUAUCCCAGUGGACAUAAAAAGCUGCAAUUAAGCUGGGUGUGGUGGCAUAGACCUCUAAUCCCAGCACUUAGGAGGAAGCAGGAAGAUGAGUUCAAGGCCAGCUCAGCUACAGAGUAAGGGUAGUCUAAGCUACGUGAGACCUUGUCUUGAAAAAUAACCCCCCACCUCAUGCAGA